UUAAGUUCAGCGGGUAAUCCUACCUGAUCCGAGGCCAAAAUUGAUAAUAUGGUGGGUUUAACGGCUGGGGCGCGCCGGAACACCCUGGACGACGUAAAGUUACUACGCCCGGGUUUACAGCGGUCCCGCCACUGGAUUUCAGAGCCUACAGCAUGCUGUAGUGCCCCAACACCAGGCACCAGGGCCUGAGGGUUGUCAAU
rnacentral:misc_RNA from 1 species